UAGACAGGGGGGAACCGAUCAUUAUGCGCGUGAGUGAAGAAGGCCUUAUGGUUGUAAAGCACUUUAAGCGAGGAGGAGGCUACUUUAGAUAAUACCUAGAGAUAGUGGACGUUACUCGCAGAAUAAGCACCGGCUAACUCUGUGCCAGCAGCCGCGGUAAUACAGAGGGUGCAAGCGUUAAUCGGAUUUACUGGGCGUAAAGCGCGCGUAGGCGGCUAAUUAAGUCAAAUGUGAAAUCCCCGAGCUUAACUUGGGAAUUGCAUUCGAUACUGGUUAGCUAGAGUGUGGGAGAGGAUGGUAGAAUUCCAGGUGUAGCGGUGAAAUGCGUAGAGAUCUGGAGGAAUACCGAUGGCGAAGGCAGCCAUCUGGCCUAACACUGACGCUGAGGUGCGAAAGCAUGGGGAGCAAACAGGAUUAGAUACCCUGGUAGUCCAUGCCGUAAACGAUGUCUACUAGCCGUUGGGGCCUUUGAGGCUUUAGUGGCGCAGCUAACGCGAUAAGUAGACCGCCUGGGGAGUACGGUCGCAAGACUAAAACUCAAAUGAAUUGACGGGGGCCCGCACAAGCGGUGGAGCAUGUGGUUUAAUUCGAUGNCACGCGAAGAACUUUACUGGUCUUGACAUAGUAAGAACUUCCCGAGAUGGAUUGGGC
rnacentral:rRNA from 1 species